GCAUAAAGCCGAUGCUAGGCGUCAGGUGUUCUACACUCUCCUCUCUGUUUUGGUCAUUUGACAUGUGGACGCAGAAACAAUAACAAUGCAUGAAUAUCUGAUUGGUGCUGAUCUCCAGUGCAAUUUCUCAAAAGUAAACUAUCAAAUAAUACAGGAGAAAUCAAAUAAGAUGAUACAAAUUUACAAAAAUAAAUAUUUAUUAAUUCGAGCAAUGUGAAAUAAAGCAAUCAAAUAAGUACAGUACAGCACACAGAAUGAAAAAUGUUAAAGUGUAACAACAGAAAUAAAACCAAAUCAAAAGCCACAUGAGUACAUAACCACAAGUACGUAUGUAUUCAAAAAGUAUAUGUACAUGUGAUGAUAUGCAUAUGUAUAAUUCUGAUAUGAGCUGUAUACAGUGUACAGUGAAGCUUGUUUAUGUAAGACAAACGCCAGGUGAUACGUAAAUACGUAAUCAAUAUACGCUUCAACUGAAAUACAAUUCAAUAUCAACUGUACAUUUACACACACACACACUUGCUGGCAUAAGCAAAAAGAGGUCGCGCUCGUGUGCACCCAACAACAGCAGCAACGGCAACGGCAACAGCAGCAGCAAACAUUGCCAGCAAGAGCAAGAGCCAGUCAGGCUGCCCCGUCAUUUGGCGCUCUCGUUUGCGCUCGCUCUAACACAUUUGAAUUAAAAGUUGGCGCAACUUUUGCUCCCCUCUUCACUCAUACAUGCGCCUGCUCUCGCACUCUCUCGCUCUUCGGCACUCACUUGAAAGCUUAUACAUUUGUAUAACAAGACGAGGCACAGGGGCAAGGGAGACAAUAUGACAACGUCAGCGUUAGCGCAAAAGAGUGCGCAACUCAUUCUACUCAAUUGACAAUAGAAAACUUACACGGAAAUCUCUGGCGAACUAAAAUGACGAGAAAGUAGGAGACGCACCGCAGUCUCAUGCUGCUCCUGAGCAUUGGCCCAGAGCGACAACUGUGUUUAAGCCAGGAGCAGAGCGCGAAUGCACAUUUCUUAACUCACACAUAUACACGAGCACUCAAAUACUAAUGUAUGCAUGUAUGUAGCUUACAUUCACAUUGUGUUGGGGAGUCAAAACCGUUUCACAAAUUCAAACACACUCGCACGCACGCACAAACACAUAAUAACCUAUUUGGCAAGUCGGACGACGAUUUUGAUUUCUCUGUUUACAAACUGUACGCGCAAAAACACAUGCCAACGAAACGUCGUCGCUGUUGAGGUUAUGUUUAGAAAAGCUCUCGCCGCGUACUCACCUUUAGCAGGUCCAACAGAAAUGGAGAAGCCGCACAGAGCACGAUUUUGUGGGCUGGAAAACUGCGUCCGCCGGCAGCCAGGGUGCAAUCGACCAGGUCGCCAUGGCAGCGCAACAAUUGUAUGGCCGAUACCAGAGAUGUUCCAUAAUCACCCCAGGUGAGCGAGUACAGCGAAUUCAUUGGCAACGACAUUAGGGCUGUCGUGUCCAAAUCCAACAGUUGUUCUCCAGCGUUGUAGUUAUAUUGAUUGCUGUUUGUGGCCAACACGACGAGGCUGUUAUUCUUGCAACGUUCUAACAAGAAAUUUCAUCUAAAUGGCAGCGUCAAAUAGUUGAUGCUGCUGCUCCACUGCUCAACUGCUCAACUGCUCCACGUUCACGAGCUUUCACAACGACUGAAUGGCGCGCUGCUUCUUAUCGUUGCCCCCUACAAAAAACAAAAAAAAAGAGUAAAGAGCAUAAGCAGAUGGAAGA